rnacentral:rRNA from 1 species
CGGUGGUCUUCUAUCUAGUAUCUACGUACACAAACGAAAGCUUGUACCACGCAUUAGAAAUCCAAACGGUUUGCAGUGGAGGCCGUUAAAGUCGAGUUGUACAGAACCACAGACGUCUACUAAACCACUAAAAAGAAAAGAAACACCCGAAUAGACUACUUUAAAUGACGAUUAAUCUAGCACGUGACUGCGACGGUGGUCUUCUAUCUAGUAUCUACGUACACAAACGAAAGUUUGUACCACGCAUUAGAAAUCCAAACGGUUUACAGUAGAGGCCGUUAAAGUCGAGUUGUACAGAACCAAAGACGUAAGACUCAAAUCUCAAGAUGUAUCACCUUACCAAUCAUAUACCCUCAAACGUAGAUGUCAACGUAUGACAUCAAGGUAAGGCAGGAAGGAAUAAGUCUCUACUUGACUUGGAGAUUAAAAAGUACAUGAAAACACACUAACACACUUUCACUCCACCUUGACUGAUAAAGCCCCCCUUUAGUUUUCUAUGGUGUAAUCAUAUCAUCUUGCAUGAUGAACGAGAAUUCUAAAGUCUUUACUGUACAGUUCCUGUCCCAUAUCUCUAGGCUUCUCAUAAGAGGAAGGCAGUAGCCAACAAUUUAAUCAUUGCGGGUCGUAGCACACGCUACCUCGGGAAUGGCGACAAGUGUUGACUUGAGAAAUAAAAUAAAAUUAGGAAGCCUAAACAGCCCAGUCCCUAGGAAGUCAAAACAACCUAGUCCUUCAUUCUCGUGGCCCUGAAGUUCCUGCUACAUCUAACAGCUUCCGUUUCAACGUCUCACGUACCCGUCGUCAUGGUCACGUUCUUGGAGCGCGUACUGCCUCGACGACACCAUCUCUUCGUUUUGGGUUGCUGAUUGAGAUGUUCGAGACCAGCGACAGAAUUUGUAGUGAUUGCAUUAGUAUAGAGUAAGGUAAUACGUUUAAAAUAAAGACUAAAAAAAAUAAGAUAAAGUCAUGAACAUGGAAAAAUGUUACGCAAAUCACGUAUACUUACUUCAUAUAACUAAAUAGAAGAUGGAUACCAAAAGACACGAAAUAACCACGAGUUGCAAAAACUGUACAACCGUACGUAUAAUGAUUUAAACCAGUUCGUUGGGCGGUUGUUUAUGUUUCUUCCCGAUAUACAGAAGACUAGCAGAACUACCGUAUAUACUCCUGGACGUUAUGACUUGGACCUUCAAUCAGCAACUCCGUCACCAGUACCAUCACUAUAGAUGACGGUCUUGUAUUUGCAAACCGGGAGGAACAACGGUGCUUCCUAAUACUAGAUGACCUAAAUGUCUUGGUCAAUUACCGUACUACGACCGUCAUCAUUACCUCCCAACACUAAAGACCUACCUUAUCCUGCCUAACCGCAGGAGAAGAGUGCUUUGUGUGACUGUGUUUUAAAGACCAAAGACUGCAUGUUCCUAAUAAAUGAUACUUGUUUAUAACGUUACAAGUAAGCAUCAUGACAAACAACUCCGCUACGGAGAGGAUGUCCAUACUUUAAUAGCAACCCGGAAGUUGAUAAAAAUAAACUACAUAUACUAAGGUUUGUGAUGAACAAGGUCAUGAUGUAUAACCUGUUUUUGUUAAAGGAAUAUACGAUCUUGUGCUGUACCGAUUAAUCAUUAACGUGAUGUAAGGAUUAUUGACAAUUUGAAAACCCUCCGUACCGUUACAAGAAGUUGGUACUAAUUCAAGUAUAUAUUAAUCUGUGAAGUUUAUCUUACAGGACACUGUGUUGAGUGGAACCAUUGAUACGAUGUUUCACAGACUUGGACGUAAAAUAUAGUCCUACUAUUUUAAAGUGGUUAGAUAGUAGCAAGUGUGAUUUAACUUGAACCCUCACAAUUUUUGGCGGCAGUGAUUAAAUCGAUUGGCGAGUGGUCAUCCAUUAGAUCGAUUAGCGAGUGGUUCAUUCAUUAGAAAUUAGACUUCAACAUAUAACUGACAUCCCGUUAUUGUUGGGUCAAAAGUUGUCGCGUUUUAUGACUUUACGACGAUUAAAUUCUUAACUUCUCUAACGGAAAAGUAAAACAUUUUAGAAGGACAAGGUAACACGGUAGACUUCACUGGUUCGUACUAGAAACUAACCGGUACAUACUACGUCGCCUCAGUAAAAUAAUUCGACCGUAAUCAUCAAAACGUAAAAUGUACUAAACACACGUUCAAACUUGCAGACAGCUUAUUAUAAUUAAUAUUAUGACUUUGUCAGACAAUAACAACAAUAGAAGAACCCUCAUGAACUCUUCCGCGCUUCUCCUUCCACCCCUGUGCGGUACCGUCUCCGGUCACGGCUUAGAUGCAGACGACCGUCUCCGCGCACCAACUGUCCUCCUCGGCCCCUCCGUACUGCCACCUGUACACCUACAAUAGCACCGUAACUGUGUAAAGCGGGAUGGUUGUGACGUAUGGUUGCACUGACUUACAAUAGCACCGAAUCUACGGGAUAGUUUAAGAACGAACUGAAAAACCAAAACAUACGAGCCUACAUACAAAGUCAAGGAUGUACCAUAAAGAGUACACCUCAACUUUGGUGUAAACCAACCAGGUUAUCAUUUAUUAGUAUACAAAGUGAGAUUUUAGUAUAACGUAUAUCUCACUACAAUGCAAGAACACGUUUAAUG